CAGCAGCCACGGUAACACGAAGGGGGCUAGCGUUGUUCGGAUUUACUGGGCGUAAAGGGCGCGUAGGCGGACUGAUAAGUCAGGGGUGAAAUCCCGAGGCUCAACCUUGGAACUGCCUUUGAUACUGUUUGUCCUGAGUUCGAGAGAGGUAAGUGGAACUGCGAGUGUAGAGGUGAAAUUCGUAGAUAUUCGGAAGAACACCAGUGGCGAAGGCGGCUCACUGGACGACUGUUGACGCUGAGGUGCGAAAGCGUGGGGAGCAAACAGGAUUAGAUACCCGGGUAGUCCCUGUCUCUUAUAC
rnacentral:rRNA from 1 species